UACGAACUGUGCAAACGUUAUUCGGAUUCACUGGGCUUAAAGGGUGCGUAGGCGGCGCAGAAAGUUGGGUGUGAAAUCCCUCGGCUCAACCGAGGAACUGCGCCCAAAACUACUGUGCUUGAGGAAGAUAGAGGUAAGCGGAACUUACGGUGGAGCGGUGAAAUGCGUUGAUAUCGUAAGGAACACCUGUGGCGAAAGCGGCUUACUGGGUCUUUCUGACGCUGAUGCACGAAAGCCAGGGGAGCAAACGGG
rnacentral:rRNA from 1 species